UUAUACCGUGAAACUGCGAAUGGCUCAUUAAAUCAGUUAUCGUUUAUUUGAUAGUACCUUACUACUUGGAUAACCGUGGUAAUUCUAGAGCUAAUACAUGCCAAAAACCCCAACUUCGGGAGGGGUGUAUUUAUUAGAUAAAAAACCAAUGCCCUUCGGGGCUCUUUGGUGAUUCAUGAUAACUUAACGGAUCGCAUGGCCUUGCGCCGGCGACGGUUCAUUCAAAUUUCUGCCCUAUCAACUUUCGAUGGUAAGGUAUUGGCUUACCAUGGUUUCAACGGGUAACGGGGAAUUAGGGUUCGAUUCCGGAGAGGGAGCCUGAGAAACGGCUACCACAUCCAAGGAAGGCAGCAGGCGCGCAAAUUACCCAAUCCCGACACGGGGAGGUAGUGACAAUAAAUACUGAUACAGGGCUCUUUUGGGUCUUGUAAUCGGAAUGAGUACAAUUUAAACCUCUUAACGAGGAACAAUUGGAGGGCAAGUCUGGUGCCAGCAGCCGCGGUAAUUCCAGCUCCAAUAGCGUAUAUUAAAGUUGUUGCAGUUAAAAAGCUCGUAGUUGAAUCUUGGGCCUGGCUGGCCGGUCCGCCUCACCGCGUGUACUGGUCUGGCCGGGCCUUUCCUUCUGGAGAACCUCAUGCCCUUCAUUGGGUGUGGCGGGGAACCAGGACUUUUACUUUGAAAAAAUUAGAGUGUUCAAAGCAGGCCUUUGCUCGAAUACGUUAGCAUGGAAUAAUAGAAUAGGACGUGCGGUCCUAUUUUGUUGGUUUCUAGGACCGCCGUAAUGAUUAAUAGGGAUAGUCGGGGGCAUCAGUAUUCAAUUGUCAGAGGUGAAAUUCUUGGAUUUAUUGAAGACUAACUACUGCGAAAGCAUUUGCCAAGGAUGUUUUCAUUAAUCAGUGAACGAAAGUUAGGGGAUCGAAGACGAUCAGAUACCGUCGUAGUCUUAACCGUAAACUAUGCCGACUAGGGAUCGGGCG
rnacentral:rRNA from 1 species